CUCUGCCUCAGAGGUCUUCUCAAGCCACUACUGUUCCCAAGGAUGCCUAAUUGCAAUGCCAGCUUCUGGGGUGAACAUGGACCCACUGUCAUCGGGCAAGGUCUAGGAUGGACAUGGAGACCCACCAUCUGGGAGAUUCCAGAGUGGACGUGAACCCACCAUCAUCAGAGAGCUUCAUGGAGUAUUCAGAAGCUGGCGGGUGUCACCUGGAGGAUGUGACUGGGUACCAGUGCCAGAGCACGUGCCCACUGAGCAGUCUUCUUCACUUUCCUCGAUCCUCAUGAAACAUUCCGGGAUCUUUACCUCAAAGGACUCCAGAGGCUACAUCAUUGUCUUGGAACUGGUCAGUGGCUGGAGCUCUCUCCAGGACAAGUGCUUGGAGGAAGAACCUGGACAAGCUUCCCUCCCCAUACUGUUGACUGGAUCUUGUAGCUACCGUUAGCCACCAUCAUCGCCAUUGUGUGCCUCUUAGGAGCAUUUCCAGGAGGUGAUGCCAGCUGGGGAAAGAGCCUCUGUCCCACAGCCGUCGGUGCCCGCUGCAGCCUGCGCCCAGGAUGUCACAGCCUCAGCUCAACACCUCUGCUGGACAGCUUCAGGUGGUGAUUCCAGCUCCAGGGUUGCUGCGGUCAACACUGGGUACUUGAGGAGAGGUUGUCUGUGAUGAGUUCGCUUUAUUAAUGACGAAUAUAACACAGAUGGCCUGUUUUCAAUACCACCUGCCACUCCGGUCACUCGGCAGUACAUACCAGGUGUCACACCACUGCCCGGCAGGUGACAACGCUGAAUUGGUCCUCAGGAGCGGAUGUUCAAGGAACCCUGCCUAUGCACCAUGCUAGCUGCCAGUCCUAGGUUGGGACAUUCCACUGGGGACAUCCAUGGGAGAGCUAUGGCCAUUAACAAGUCCUGAGCCCUGACCUGAAGCCAUCAGUGGCCUAGCUGCUCUACCUGACUUUGUGGCCUCCCUUCCUGGAUCUCUCGCUUACGACAACCGACAACAAAGAUGUUUGACUCCAGAAGAUGCUCCCCGCGGCCCACCUGAGAGGACUGUCCACACCCCACCCCACUGCGCCCUGUGCCAUCUACCUCUGAGUCCCCAACUUCUCACCCAUGUUUCAACUCCCACCCCAGAGCCUUGUAUUCCAGAUCUGAGCAGCCCUUGCUUAGGAACCUGAGGUGGGGGGUGGGUAGGCAGACCCAGGGGACUGAGCAGGGAGGGGAAGGAGGGGUUUCUGCUCUUGGCUUUCAAAGUUCUCAGUGUGUGUAGCCCUUUGAAUAAUAAACAUAUGUCAUAUAAUGUAAA